rnacentral:misc_RNA from 1 species
GCUAUCUUCUUAUAGGUAAAAAAAAGAAAAAAGAUAUAAGGGCUUGCAAGAUUCUGUUUAUUCUUGGUUCUUAUUUUGGUACUUGGGAGGAGCAGGAGUACAGUGCGGGCAUGUUGCUUGUUAGUCUUUCCUAGAGCAAACUCAAAAUGAUAUACAACAAAUGCCAGGAUAUUGUUGUGUCGUUUAUCGAACUAAAACUACCUGACUCAAAUCUAUGUCAUGUACUAAUGCAUUUCUGCUAAGACUCU